AAACCUCGACUUCGGARGGGGUGUAUUUAUUAGAUAAAAAACCAAUGCCCUCCGGGGCUCCCUGGUGAUUCAUAAUAACUAAACGAAUCGCAUGGCCUUGCGCCGGCGAUGGUUCAUUCAAAUUUCUGCCCUAUCAACUUUCGAUGGUAGGAUAGUGGCCUACCAUGGUGGCAACGGGUAACGGGGAAUUAGGGUUCUAUUCCGGAGAGGGAGCCUGAGAAACGGCUACCACAUCCAAGGAAGGCAGCAGGCGCGCAAAUUACCCAAUCCCGACACGGGGAGGUAGUGACAAUAAAUACUGAUGUGGAGCUCUUUAGGGUUUCACAAUUGGAAUGAGAAAAAUCUAAACCACUUAAACGAGGAACAAUUGGAGGGCAAGUCUGGUGCCAGCAGCCGCGGUAAUUCCAGCUCCAAUAGCGUAUAUUAAAGUUGUUGCAGUUAAAAAGCUCGUAGUUGAACCUUGGGCCUGGCCGGCCGGUCCGCCUCACCGCGUGCACUGGUUCGGCCGGGCCUUUCCUCCUGGGGAACCGCAUGCCCUUCACUGGGUGUGCCGGGGAAUCAGGACUUUUACUUUGAAAAAAUUAGAGUGUUCAAAGCAGGCAUUUGCUCGAAUACAUUAGCAUGGAAUAAUAGAAUAGGACGUUGUGGUUCUAUUUUGUUGGUUUCUAGGACCGCCGUAAUGAUUAAUAGGGACG
rnacentral:rRNA from 1 species